UGGUACUACAGAUGAGUGUUCCUGCAAUCUACUUCUACAAGUACCAACGUAUCAUACCUGAAUGAGGCGUAAUGAGAAAGCUUCGAAAUACGUAUUACAUCUACGGGAUCCCAAGUGGUGACAUAAACAACAUGUGCAUCAGCCUUAGGACCAGUGCAUGUUGGAUAAGACCAUUGCAGGUUGGAAUGGAUUUUGAGUCAACAAGUUCAAUAGCAAUUAGCAAGAAAGGUACGUCAUUCCACUGGACCCCCACAACUUCAGAAAUUGAAAACAAUGUUUGAUCAAGUUCCAGUGAUUCAAGAAAUACUUCAAAAUUUGGACUUGGAUAGAAUCAUCAAUGCCC